GGUNCAGCCUGCCCAGUGACAAAGUUCAACGGCCGCGGUACCCUAACCGUGCGAAGGUAGCAUAAUCACUUGUUCUUUAAAUGAGGACUCGUAUCAACGGCACUACGAGGGCUAUACUGUCUCCCUUUUCCAAUCAGUGAAACUGAUCUCCCCGUGAAGAAGCGGGAAUCAAAAUAUAAGACGAGAAGACCCCAUGGAGCUUUAAACUCAUCAUACACCUCUGUGCUCUUCCAUCAUCACACACAAGAAAUCUGUAUGCUAGUUUUAGGUUGGGGGGACCACGGAGUACAAUUUAACCUCCACAACAAAUGGGCUAACACCCUUAUCCAUGAGAUACAACUCUAAGAAUUACUAAACUAAUGUUUAUGACCCGAUAAUUCGAUCAAUGAACCAAGUUACCCUGGGGAUAACAGCGCAAUCUACUUCAAGAGCCCAUAUCGACAAGUAGGUUUACGACCUCGAUGUUGGAUCAGGGUAUCCUAGUGGUGCAGCCGCUACUAAUGGUUCGUUUGUUCAACGAUUAAAACCCU
rnacentral:rRNA from 1 species